GAUGAACGCCGGCGGCGUGCCUAAUACAUGCAAGUCGAGCGAACAGAUAAGGAGCUUGCUCCUUUGACGUUAGCGGCGGACGGGUGAGUAACACGUGGGUAACCUACCUAUAAGACUGGGAUAACUUCGGGAAACCGGAGCUAAUACCGGAUAACAUUUGGAACCGCAUGGUUCUAAAGUGAAAGAUGGCUUUGCUAUCACUUAUAGAUGGACCCGCGCCGUAUUAGCUAGUUGGUAAGGUAACGGCUUACCAAGGCGACGAUACGUAGCCGACCUGAGAGGGUGAUCGGCCACACUGGAACUGAGACACGGUCCAGACUCCUACGGGAGGCAGCAGUAGGGAAUCUUCCGCAAUGGGCGAAAGCCUGACGGAGCAACGCCGCGUGAGUGAUGAAGGGUUUCGGCUCGUAAAACUCUGUUAUUAGGGAAGAACAAAUGUGUAAGUAACUGUGCACGUCUUGACGGUACCUAAUCAGAAAGCCACGGCUAACUACGUG
rnacentral:rRNA from 1 species